rnacentral:rRNA from 1 species
UACAGAGGUCCCGAGCGUUGUUCGGAUUCACUGGGCGUAAAGGGUGCGUAGGUGGUGAGGUAAGUCGGAUGUGAAAUCUCCAAGCUCAACUUGGAAGUGGCAUUGGAAACUACCUUGCUGGAGGUUUGGAGGGGGGACUGGAAUUCUCGGUGUAGCAGUGAAAUGCGUAGAUAUCGAGAGGAACACCAGUGGCGAAGGCGAGUCCCUGGACAAAACCUGACACUGAGGCACGAAAGCUAGGGGAGCAAACAGG